rnacentral:rRNA from 1 species
UGUCGUCAGCUCGUGUCGUGAGAUGUUCGGUUAAGUCCGCUAACGAGCGCAACCCUCGGCUGUGUGUUACAAGUGUCACACAGGACCGCCGGUCUUAAGCCGGAGGAAGUGGGGAUGACGUCAAGUCAGCAUGGCCUUUAUGUCCAGGGCUACACACACGCUACAAUGGUCAGCACAAUAGGUAGCCAAGCCGCGAGGUGGAGCCAAUCCUCAAAGCUGGCCUCAGUUCAGAUCGCAGGCUGCAACCCGCCUGCGUGAAGCCGGAGUUGCUAGUAACCGCAGGUCAGCUAUACUGCGGUGAAUACGUUCCCGGGCCUU